AUUUUAGUUCAAGUUGUGAAACACAAUUCAACGUGUUCCAUUGCAUACAUGAGGCAUGUACACCUCCAAAGUGUAAGAAUGAAAGAGAAAAAAAGAAGUUAAGGUAUUUAUCACUUCAUACCUUCACUAACAAGUCAAAGUAGCCCUUAGCAUCUGGGUCUGAUAUAGGAGUAUACCUGAUAAUUCAAGUUAUUGACAUACAAAUUUAUU